rnacentral:rRNA from 1 species
UGGGGGAUAUUGCACAAUGGGCGCAAGCCUGAUGCAGCGACGCCGCGUGGGGGAUGAAGGCCUUCGGGUUGUAAACUUCUUUUGCUCUGAACAAGGCGCACUUUGGGGUGUGUUGAGUGUAGGGGUUGAUUAGCGCCGGCUAACUACGUGCCAGCAGCCGCGGUAAUACGUAGGGCGCGAGCGUUGUCCGGAAUUAUUGGGCGUAAAGGGCUUGUAGGUGGCUGGUUGCGUCUGUCGUGAAAGCUCAUGGCUUAACUGUGGGUUUGCGGUGGGUACGGGCUGGCUCGAGUGCAGUAGGGGAGGCUGGAAUUCCUGGUGUAGCGGUGGAAUGCGCAGAUAUCAGGAGGAAUACCGGUGGCGAAGGCGGGUCUCUGGGCUGUUACUGACACUGAGGAGCGAAAGCAUGGGGAGCGAACAGG